AGGGAAUUCUCUGUGUUAUUCACUGAUUAAAGCCUUCGAGUUCACUUUUAUUUAACUCACAAGUCCUACACUUAAAGGAUAGAUCUACAAGGGGAGAGACCACCGAGUUUUCUCCUAUAUCUUCUGCUCAUUCUUCAAAAUUCGUAGUAGCUGAAUCAACACAUCCCUGUAUGCUGAUUUCUUUUUUCUUGGUGCUGAGAGGAGAAUUAAUGGGCUCCAAAGGGAGCUGCCUCUAGUGCUCUGAUUUGAAUUCUUCAAUGUUAUGAGGACAAACAGACUUUGAAAGAAGAAAUGAUUCAACGUAUCAGAUACAGUAAUGAAGACAAUAAGAAAUUGGAUUGAUCCAGGUCUGGAGUUUUGCCACAGAGUGAAAUGGAACAACAAUAUGCAGGAGAAGUGAGGAUACUGAAUUCUACUUGAAAAUUAUACAGAAACAAUUUCUUAGAAUGCUCACAAAAGACCUGAAAACAUGGGGAGGAAGCAGGGCAUUUACAGCUUAUAACUCAUGCAAAACAACAUGCUGCAAUGUUCUGAUGAAAUGCUCCUCUACAGUCGAGGCUCCCAGAAGGCAGAGAGCAUAUUCAUUAACUCAUUCUGCUCAACACUUAGCUCAUGUCCAUGGAGAGAUGUUGAAUAUGAGCUCCUAUUAAAAAGAGGGAAUACAAUCAAUCAUUUGAGAAUGUCCAAAAAGAACUUUUCCUUUCCAUCGAGCCUUACAAAUUAUUCUAAGAUUGUUUCUGUAAAUACCAUGUAAUUGGGAGAGAUACACAGGGAGCGUCAAUUGUGUCUGUAAUGUUUUACUGCUUAUGAUAAAAAGAUCUGAAACUAAUGUGACAAAAUACUAAGAUUUCACAGAAUUCAGUGUUGAGUGUCCUCUAAGUUAUUAUCUUUAUUCUUCAAAUAUUUCAUAAGGAAAAAGAUGGUGGGAACUUACAAUAUUUAUUAUUUUUUUGGAGAAUGGCUGGAUAAUAUACAUUGAAAUCUGCUAAGAAUUUACCAGAAGGAAGGAAAGAGAAACACACACACACACACACACACACACAGAGAGAGAGACAGAGAGAGAGAGAGAGGAAAAAAAAAUAUAUCCUUGGAAUGCCAAGCCCAAAGAUGCAAGUCUAUCUGCCGAUUUAUAAAAGCAAAUAAAGAGAAACCAUCUAA
rnacentral:lncRNA from 10 species